rnacentral:rRNA from 1 species
GGAUGAACGCUGGCGGCGUGCCUAAUACAUGCAAGUCGAGCGAACAGACGAGGAGCUUGCUCCUCUGACGUUAGCGGCGGACGGGUGAGUAACACGUGGAUAACCUACCUAUAAGACUGGGAUAACUUCGGGAAACCGGAGCUAAUACCGGAUAACAUGUUGAACCGCAUGGUUCAACAGUGAAAGACGGUCUUGCUGUCACUUAUAGAUGGAUCCGCGCCGCAUUAGCUAGUUGGUAAGGUAACGGCUUACCAAGGCAACGAUGCGUAGCCGACCUGAGAGGGUGAUCGGCCACACUGGAACUGAGACACGGUCCAGACUCCUACGGGAGGCAGCAGUAGGGAAUCUUCCGCAAUGGGCGAAAGCCUGACGGAGCAACGCCGCGUGAGUGAUGAAGGUCUUCGGAUCGUAAAACUCUGUUAUUAGGGAAGAACAAAUGUGUAAGUAACUAUGCACGUCUUGACGGUACCUAAUCAGAAAGCCACGGCUAACUACGUG